GGAGAAUGAGCGGCCAGAGUCCGAUGAUGAGGAGGAUGAGGAAGAUGACGAGGAAGAUGAUCCUGGGAGUGGCGAAAUUGACGGUGAUGAUAGGCCAUAUAGAAUGAACAACGGGCAUAGCGUGGAAGGGAUAGUCGAUGUUGAUGAGGAUGAAGAGAGUGAUGCGGAUGAGGAGGAGACAGAGACGGCGAGAGGGGUUAAUGGAUCAAGUAGGUCUUCUCACCAUCAGUCAAACGGUUUUCGGGUUGCUGCAGUGAAUGGAGAGGAGGAAGAUGAGGAUGAGGGCGAUGAUGAAGAGGACAAUGAUUCAGGGGAGGAGAUUGAUGAAGAGGAUGGUGAGGAUGAAGAUGUGAUUGAGGUUCAUGAGAUUGAGGACAGUGAUGAUGAAGAAGACGGUGUAGAAGAUGAAGAUGAUGAGGAUGAGGAUGAUGAUGAUGAGGAUGAAGAAGAGGAAGUGGAUAACGAAGAGGGGGGUUUUACAGAGCCGAGGAGUACAGGGCGGGUGAUGAGCGCGGAAGGGGAGAUUGAUGCCCAUGAACAGGGGGAGGAGGACGCAGAGGAGGAUGAUAAUGGAGAAACUGGGGAGGAAGAGCAGGGUGUUGAAGAAGUUGGAGAGUUUGAAGACGAAGAAGAGUGUGAGGAAGAGGUGAGAAUUCCUUUUUCUUUCAAGCGCGAUAUGGUUUGAUUUUCUGUUCAUUUUGGUAAAUAUGCCUUGGGUUAUACUUUGAAUGCUCUUGUGCAGAAAAAUUGAAUGUUUUGAUAGUUUAUUAGCCCAUAUAAAACUGUUACAGACUGGUCAUCUUCGUUUCCUUCAUCUGGUGGAGCAAUAAGUUAACUGCAUUUGUUUGACUACUUUCUUGUUUCUAGUUAGUAUUUUAUGCCAGUGAUAAUUACUAAGCUGUUUUAUCUGCAUCUUCAUUUAAUUAUUAUAAAUUGUGCUGUGUUCUGUGUUAAAUUAUACUUUUUGUAAAUCUUUUUCCAUUUUAUUUUUAAUUUAGUUGUCGUUUUUUUUAAAUGAUUGUGAGGGAUUUUUUUUCAUUUAUUCCUGUCAAGGUUAGUAAUCUUUGGGGCUAGAUGUUCUUUUUGAUAUUGUUGUUUGGUGCAGGCUGUCAAUUGUGCAAGGACUUGCAUUGUUGCUCUAAGAUAAACUCCUGGUUAAUUUUUUUGAGCAGAAUGUCUCUUCUUAAUUUUUGGCCUGGCGGAGGGGGCAGAAGUCAAAUUCUUAAUCAUCUUUCUAGCCAGGCUCUGUUAGUAGAAUAUCACUAAUUUAUGCCUAUAAUAGGAUGCUGAGGGACAAGUUUUUUGGGCAUGGCAAUAUUACCAAGUUGACUAACUAAUUACACUUACUAAUGAGCCUUUUUUUUCUUCUCUCAAGUUAGUUGUAAUUGGUACUCUGUUCUGCUAACAGACAUAUUAGAUAAAAUUGUGAACAUUCGAUAUGCUCUAGGUUAUGAUGAGAAGACAGGAUGGUGUGUGCAGUGAAUUUAUCAGAUUAAUGGCCUGCUUAAAUUCUUUGUGUGGGUGGGUGGGUGUGUUUAAUAAAUCUGUUGCUUUACUGUUGGUACAUAGUUUCCCAAAGGAGAGUUACCUUGGUUUUUUUGUACUCUGAUUUGUGAACUAUGGUUUUUAUUUAGAAUGUUUGUUAUUCUAGACAUGUUGUGUUUGUUGUAGUGUAGCGUCUUGGACAGUAAUUAUCCAACUAAAGAUAAUAAUAAAAUUUCCUCCUUGAAUUUGACAUUGUGAAGUUGUUCCCAUUGCCAUUUAUUGGGUCAUUUUGAUUUUUUUUUUGUUAAAUUCAGUUCAAGAUUAGAUUUGUGAUUUGAUGGUAUAUUUUCAUUGUUAAUUUGACGUUUGCAUGAUUAUUUCUCAUGUUCUCUAUAUUUUUGUUGUAUUUUACCAUCCAUUUCUUUGUUAUUAAAUUUGAUUUUUAGUCCUAUUACUAAAGGAUGCAUUCUAUUUAUCUGGUUGAUAUAAUGUAAUUGUUGAUUAUAUCAUGUGAUUCUUUUUUCAAUUGUGAUAUUAAUAUUACUGUGUUUUGUCCUAAUGGCAGGAAGAAGAUUAUGCUUCAGGUUACUUGGUUCAACCUGUGGGCCAGGCUGAAGAGGAUGCUGGAGGCAGUGAAAUGGAGCCUGGAAACGAGGAAGAUGAUGCUGAAGAGGAGGAAGAAGUUGAAGAUGACAUUCAGCUGCUGCAUCCCUCAUCUCCGAGCCUCAAGAGGAAAAGAGAUGAACAAGCCAACAAUGAUGAUGGUGAAGGGGCUGAUGAGGAUGAGGAUGACGUUGUUGAUUACACCAAGUCAUCAAAGAAGAAGCACUGUUAGCAUUUAGCUAAUCUCCUGCCCCUUGGUGAAUUGUGAUUAUACAUGGAGAUGGGGGAACUUGAGGAUAGUUUUAGAUUGGUUGGUAUGGCUACGCCUUAGUUCAGUAUUUUAGGAAAGGAGGGUGUUAUUCAAAAGGAAGUUAGCAUGUUGUCCCCGUCAGCC
rnacentral:lncRNA from 1 species